rnacentral:rRNA from 1 species
GACCGCAUAUGAAAGUAUGUUUUCUGGCUUCGGUCAGACAGAGAGACAGGUGGUGCAUGGUUGUCGUCAGCUCGUGUCGUGAGAUGUUGGGUUAAGUCCCGCAACGAGCGCAACCCCUACGUUUAGUUGCUAACGUGUAACGAUGAGCACUCUAGGCGGACUGCCGUUGACAAACGGAGAAGGUGGGGAUGACGUCAAAUCAUCAUGCCCCUUAUGUUCUGGGCUACACACGUGCUACAAUGGCCGGUACAAAGGGACGCAAAGCCGCGAGGUGGAGCAAAUCCGAUAAAAGCCGGUCUCAGUUCGGAUUGCAGGCUGAAAUUCGCCUGCAUGAAGUCGGAAUCGCUAGUAAUCGCAGGUCAGCAUACUGCGGUGAAUACCGGUUCCCGGCCUU